rnacentral:lncRNA from 1 species
GCCUACACAAGGAUUGAAGAAGUUUGAGACUCUCUCAUACCUUCCACCACUCACCAGGGAGCAAUUGGCUAAGGAAGUUGAAUACCUUCUCCGCAGUGGAUGGGUUCCUUGCUUGGAAUUCGAGUUGGAGGUGAUCAUUUCCAAAACCCUCCUUACAAUUUCAAUUAUAUAUAUAUAUAUUUAUGAGCUUAACGGAGAAGAAUUGACGUACAUAGCCGUCUCUUUCUCAGCUCGAACCGAUGACUUUUUAAUAUCGUAAGUAGUAUCGUUACAUAUACUCGAAUAGCUAAUAAUGUGCUUUGUUUUCUUUGAUGGUAGCACGGAUUUGUGUACCGUGAGAACAACAGAUCACCAGGAUACUACGAUGGACGCUACUGGACAAUGUGGAAGCUGCCCAUGUUUGGAUGCACAGACGCAGUUCAGGUCUUGAACGAGCUUGAUGAGGCAAUUAAGGCUCACCCAAAUGGCUUCGUUAGGAUCAUUGGAUUCGACAGUUAUCGCCAAGUGCAAUGCAUUAGUUUCAUUGCCUACAAGCCUAAGGGCCUCUAAGCAAUGCCUUUGAAUUAUUAAACCCUACCUGCUUCGUUCUUCUUUUUCUUCCUGUAUUUUUUUUUUGGAAAUGCAAUUUGUUGAACAUUAUCUUUGUGGGUUUUGUUGAUUUAGGAUGCUUUUGAAAUACUUUUGACUUUUCUUCCUUCCUUGUGUUGCUUUUUUUUUAAGUUUCUUAUCGGAUGGAUUAGUAUCGAUCUGGUAUGGAAUGAAAUGGAAUGCAAUGCAAUGCAAUGUUUGAGAAUAAAUUUAUAAAUCUGUGAGUAUUCUAAAUUUAGUUUGUAAUUUGUUAUCAUAGAUAUAUUUUUUUAUUACUAAAUAAUUAAAAUUUUAUAUUAGAAAAA